CUAUACGCAUAUUGGCAGGAUACGUAGAAUAAAAUGGAAAAUUAGGCAUAGGCGUCCACAGAUUUGUAGCAGGAUCGUAACUGUCAAAGGAUAGUUUUUCGGGGUGUACUGGAGCUGCAAGAUGAUAAAGUUUCCCAUACGCAGAAACAAUGACCCCAUCCCGCUUAGAAGCUCCCGGGGGCACAAAUGAAGCCACUGACAAACUCUUCGUGUUAAUAGCAUAUCCAUGCAGUGUCUUGUGCGUAAUAUCGUUCUCUAGGAGUAUAAAUAACUGGGAGCGGCUGAAAAUCCUCGCCGUCUGAAUCGCAUAACGACCAAAUAACUUGACUAUAGGUUCAAGUAGUUGGGGUUCAUGAGUGACUCCUUCUCUUCCGGCACCACCGCCCAUAUGGUCUUCUCCUCCUCGUUUUAAUUUUAUUUCAAAUACUGCACCACUGUAUGGGGGUUCAACAUACUUCACCACUACAAACAUAGAACUGGCUUUCCCCUGAUUUGCCAUCCUCGAUGUAUGGUCCCCCACCAUGGGCAUGCUGGACAGAGAUAUAUAUAUAUAUAUAUAUAUAUAUAUAUAUAUAUAGAACAUGUCAUGUUAAUAUUUUCAAACACCUAGCUACCUAGAGAGAAUAAUUAAUCAAGCAAGGUCAAAGCCAGAACGAGAGAAAACUUAAGCAAACAGUUGGGGGGUGGGGGAGAGAGAGA
rnacentral:lncRNA from 1 species